rnacentral:lncRNA from 1 species
CUUGUGUCAAUUUUUGAUGACCUAUCCCACCAGAGAAAGCUUGGCUCCUUUUCUACUUGGAGGAAGAAGAGUGGGCUAAAUGGUUAUAGUGGUAGUUCCAUUUAUUUGAAGUACAUUGGGAAAUAUACUUCCUAUUUAGAUUCCCAUGUUGUUUACAUUACUAAUAUGGUUCUCUCUCAACUCCUAGAUCUGUUCAGAGCAGGUUUCUCAUAGCCCCUUCCUCAUUGUACUCUCUCCCAGGAAUUCUUUCCCUCUGACUGGCUAGAGGAGAGCUUUCCAGAAAACCAGGUUUCAUGAUAAUAGACAUGGAAGGAGGUA